AUUGAACGCUGGCGGCAGGCUUAACACAUGCAAGUCGAGCGGAGAUGAGGUGCUUGCACCUUAUCUUAGCGGCGGACGGGUGAGUAAUGCUUAGGAAUCUGCCUAUUAGUGGGGGACAACAUUCCGAAAGGAAUGCUAAUACCGCAUACGUCCUACGGGAGAAAGCAGGGGAUCUUCGGACCUUGCGCUAGUAGAUGAGCCUAAGUCGGAUUAGCUAGUUGGUGGGGUAAAGGCCUACCAAGGCGACGAUCUGUAGCGGGUCCGAGAGGAUGAUCCGCCACACUGGGACUGAGACACGGCCCAGACUCCUACGGGAGGCAGCAGUGGGGAAUAUUGGACAAUGGGGGGAACCCUGAUCCAGCCAUGCCGCGUGUGUGAAGAAGGCCUUAUGGUUGUAAAGCACUUUAAGCGAGGAGGAGGCUACUGAGACUAAUACUCUUGGAUAGUGGACGUUACUCGCAGAAUAAGCACCGGCUAACUCUGUGCCAGCCGCCGCGGUAAGAC
rnacentral:rRNA from 1 species